rnacentral:ncRNA from 2 species
CAACGAACUUGUCUCCGAGCCGUUAGAUCUAAAGCAUAAGCCAUGAUCUCCCGGCCGUUAGGGUUCACCGGGAAACCGGUGGGCCUCCCGUGAGGAAAGGAGUACGGUAAAUACUUGG